rnacentral:rRNA from 1 species
GGUUAAGCGACUAAGCGUACACGGUGGAUGCCCUGGCAGUCAGAGGCGAUGAAGGACGUGCUAAUCUGCGAUAAGCGUCGGUAAGGUGAUAUGAACCGUUAUAACCGGCGAUUUCCGAAUGGGGAAACCCAGUGUGAUUCGUCACACUAUCAUUAACUGAAUCCAUAGGUUAAUGAGGCGAACCGGGGGAACUGAAACAUCUAAGUACCCCGAGGAAAAGAAAUCAACCGAGAUUCCCCCAGUAGCGGCGAGCGAACGGGGAGCAGCCCAGAGCCUGAAUCAGUGUGUGUGUUAGUGGAAGCGUCUGGAAAGGCGCGCGAUACAGGGUGACAGCCCCGUACACAAAAAUGCACAUGCUGUGAGCUCGAUGAGUAGGGCGGGACACGUGGUAUCCUGUCUGAAUAUGGGGGGACCAUCCUCCAAGGCUAAAUACUCCUGACUGACCGAUAGUGAACCAGUACCGUGAGGGAAAGGCGAAAAGAACCCCGGCGAGGGGAGUGAAAAAGAACCUGAAACCGUGUACGUACAAGCAGUGGGAGCCUCUUUAUGGGGUGACUGCGUACCUUUUGUAUAAUGGGUCAGCGACUUAUAUUCUGUAGCAAGGUUAACCGAAUAGGGGAGCCGAAGGGAAACCGAGUCUUAACUGGGCGUUAAGUUGCAGGGUAUAGACCCGAAACCCGGUGAUCUAGCCAUGGGCAGGUUGAAGGUUGGGUAACACUAACUGGAGGACCGAACCGACUAAUGUUGAAAAAUUAGCGGAUGACUUGUGGCUGGGGGUGAAAGGCCAAUCAAACCGGGAGAUAGCUGGUUCUCCCCGAAAGCUAUUUAGGUAGCGCCUCGUGAAUUCAUCUCCGGGGGUAGAGCACUGUUUCGGCAAGGGGGUCAUCCCGACUUACCAACCCGAUGCAAACUGCGAAUACCGGAGAAUGUUAUCACGGGAGACACACGGCGGGUGCUAACGUCCGUCGUGAAGAGGGAAACAACCCAGACCGCCAGCUAAGGUCCCAAAGUCAUGGUUAAGUGGGAAACGAUGUGGGAAGGCCCAGACAGCCAGGAUGUUGGCUUAGAAGCAGCCAUCAUUUAAAGAAAGCGUAAUAGCUCACUGGUCGAGUCGGCCUGCGCGGAAGAUGUAACGGGGCUAAACCAUGCACCGAAGCUGCGGCAGCGACGCUUAUGCGUUGUUGGGUAGGGGAGCGUUCUGUAAGCCUGUGAAGGUGUGCUGUGAGGCAUGCUGGAGGUAUCAGAAGUGCGAAUGCUGACAUAAGUAACGAUAAAGCGGGUGAAAAGCCCGCUCGCCGGAAGACCAAGGGUUCCUGUCCAACGUUAAUCGGGGCAGGGUGAGUCGACCCCUAAGGCGAGGCCGAAAGGCGUAGUCGAUGGGAAACAGGUUAAUAUUCCUGUACUUGGUGUUACUGCGAAGGGGGGACGGAGAAGGCUAUGUUGGCCGGGCGACGGUUGUCCCGGUUUAAGCGUGUAGGCUGGUUUUCCAGGCAAAUCCGGAAAAUCAAGGCUGAGGCGUGAUGACGAGGCACUACGGUGCUGAAGCAACAAAUGCCCUGCUUCCAGGAAAAGCCUCUAAGCAUCAGGUAACAUCAAAUCGUACCCCAAACCGACACAGGUGGUCAGGUAGAGAAUACCAAGGCGCUUGAGAGAACUCGGGUGAAGGAACUAGGCAAAAUGGUGCCGUAACUUCGGGAGAAGGCACGCUGAUAUGUAGGUGAAGUCCCUCGCGGAUGGAGCUGAAAUCAGUCGAAGAUACCAGCUGGCUGCAACUGUUUAUUAAAAACACAGCACUGUGCAAACACGAAAGUGGACGUAUACGGUGUGACGCCUGCCCGGUGCCGGAAGGUUAAUUGAUGGGGUCAGCGCAAGCGAAGCUCUUGAUCGAAGCCCCGGUAAACGGCGGCCGUAACUAUAACGGUCCUAAGGUAGCGAAAUUCCUUGUCGGGUAAGUUCCGACCUGCACGAAUGGCGUAAUGAUGGCCAGGCUGUCUCCACCCGAGACUCAGUGAAAUUGAACUCGCUGUGAAGAUGCAGUGUACCCGCGGCAAGACGGAAAGACCCCGUGAACCUUUACUAUAGCUUGACACUGAACAUUGAGCCUUGAUGUGUAGGAUAGGUGGGAGGCUUUGAAGUGUGGACGCCAGUCUGCAUGGAGCCGACCUUGAAAUACCACCCUUUAAUGUUUGAUGUUCUAACGUUGACCCGUAAUCCGGGUUGCGGACAGUGUCUGGUGGGUAGUUUGACUGGGGCGGUCUCCUCCUAAAGAGUAACGGAGGAGCACGAAGGUUGGCUAAUCCUGGUCGGACAUCAGGAGGUUAGUGCAAUGGCAUAAGCCAGCUUGACUGCGAGCGUGACGGCGCGAGCAGGUGCGAAAGCAGGUCAUAGUGAUCCGGUGGUUCUGAAUGGAAGGGCCAUCGCUCAACGGAUAAAAGGUACUCCGGGGAUAACAGGCUGAUACCGCCCAAGAGUUCAUAUCGACGGCGGUGUUUGGCACCUCGAUGUCGGCUCAUCACAUCCUGGGGCUGAAGUAGGUCCCAAGGGUAUGGCUGUUCGCCAUUUAAAGUGGUACGCGAGCUGGGUUUAGAACGUCGUGAGACAGUUCGGUCCCUAUCUGCCGUGGGCGCUGGAGAACUGAGGGGGGCUGCUCCUAGUACGAGAGGACCGGAGUGGACGCAUCACUGGUGUUCGGGUUGUCAUGCCAAUGGCACUGCCCGGUAGCUAAAUGCGGAAGAGAUAAGUGCUGAAAGCAUCUAAGCACGAAACUUGCCCCGAGAUGAGUUCUCCCUGAC